UUAAGUUCAGCGGGUAGUCCUACCUGAUUUGAGGUCAAAUUCAUCAAACAUGUUUCUUUUUUUAGAAGCGGCGAAUGCAGCAUACCAGGGGCAUAGAUAAAUUUAUCACACCCAUAGUGCUCAGAAUACCACUAAUUCAUUUCAGGAGAGCCGACUUUUUAAAGCCUGCAAACCCACAUCCAAAAGCCACACCGAAAGGA
rnacentral:misc_RNA from 1 species